rnacentral:rRNA from 1 species
CCUACGGGUGGCAGCAGUGGGGAAUAUUGCGCAAUGGGCGAAAGCCUGACGCAGCGACGCCGCGUGAGGGAUGAAGGUCUUCGGAUCGUAAACCUCUGUCAGCAGGGAAGAACGGUCACUGUGCUAAUCAGCAGUGAAUUGACGGUACCUGAAGAAGAAGCCCCGGCUAACUACGUGCCAGCAGCCGCGGUAAUACGUAGGGGGCAAGCGUUAUCCGGAUUUACUGGGUGUAAAGGGGGCGCAGACGGCGAUGCAAGCCAGGAGUGAAAGCCCGGGGCCCAACCCCGGGACUGCUCUUGGAACUGCGUGGCUGGAGUGCAGGAGGGGCAGGCGGAAGUCCUGGUGUAGCGGUGAAAUGCGUAGAUAUCAGGAGGAACACCGGUGGCGAAGGCGGCCUGCUGGACUGCAACUGACGUUGAGGCCCGAAAGCGUGGGGAGCAAACAGGAUUAGAUACCCCAGUAGUC